AGAGUUUGAUCAUGGCUCAGAACGAACGCUGGCGGCGUGGAUAAGACAUGCAAGUCGAACGAGCUUAGUUUUGUAGCAAUACAAGGCUAAGCUAGUGGCGAACGGGUGCGUAACACGUGAGCAAUCUGCCUUAAAGUGGGGGAUAGCUCGCCGAAAGGCGAAUUAAUACCGCAUGUGGUUGUAAAACCAAAGCCGGGGCAACCUGGCGCUUUUAGAGGAGCUCGCGGCCUAUCAGCUUGUUGGUGAGGUAACGGCUCACCAAGGCUUCGACGGGUAGCUGGUCUGAGAGGACGACCAGCCACACUGGAACUGAGACACGGUCCAGACACCUACGGGUGGCAGCAGUCGAGAAUUUUUCUCAAUGGGGGAAACCCUGAAGGAGCGACGCCGCGUGGAGGAUGAAUGCUUUCGGGUUGUAAACUCCUGUCAUUUGGGAACAAAGCCUUACGUUAACUGCGUGGAGGUUUGAUAGUACCAGAAGAGGAAGAGACGGCUAACUCUGUGCCAGCAGCCGCGGUAAUACAGAGGUCUCAAGCGUUGUUCGGAUUCAUUGGGCGUAAAGGGCGCGUAGGCGGCGGGGUAAGUCGGGUGUGAAAUCUCAGAGCUCAACUCUGAAACUGCACUCGAUACUGCUUUGCUAGAGGACUGGAGAGGAAAUUGGAAUUCACGGUGUAGCAGUGAAAUGCGUAGAGAUCGUGAGGAAGACCAGUGGCGAAGGCGGAUCUCUGGACAGUUCCUGACGCUGAGGCGCGAAGGCCAGGGGAGCAAACGGGAUUAGAUACCCCGGUAGUCCUGGCAGUAAACGGUGCACGUUGGUGUGCGCGGAUUCGACCCCGUGCGUGCCGGAGCUAACGCGUUAAACGUGCCGCCUGAGGAGUACGGUCGCAAGAUUAAAACUCCAAAGAAAUUGACGGGGGCCCGCUCAAGCGUUGAGUAUGUG
rnacentral:rRNA from 1 species